rnacentral:rRNA from 1 species
AUUGAACGCUGGCGGCAGGCCUAACACAUGCAAGUCGAGCGGUAGCACAGAGAGCUUGCUCUCGGGUGACGAGCGGCGGACGGGUGAGUAAUGUCUGGGAAACUGCCUGAUGGAGGGGGAUAACUACUGGAAACGGUAGCUAAUACCGCAUAAUGUCGCAAGACCAAAGUGGGGGACCUUCGGGCCUCAUGCCAUCAGAUGUGCCCAGAUGGGAUUAGCUAGUAGGUGGGGUAACGGCUCACCUAGGCGACGGUCCCUAGCUGGUCUGAGAGGAGGACCAGCCACACUGGAACUGAGACACGGUCCAGACUCCUACGGGAGGCAGCAGUGGGGAAUAUUGCACAAUGGGCGCAAGCCUGAUGCAGCCAUGCCGCGUGUGUGAAGAAGGCCUUCGGGUUGUAAAGCACUUUCAGCGGGGAGGAAGGCGAUAAGGUUAAUAACCUUGUCGAUUGACGUUACCCGCAGAAGAAGCACCGGCUAACUCCGUGCCAGCCGCCGCGGUAA